CAAUAUGUGAAUUGUUUUGAAUUCUAUUAAGUUUUGGAAUUUCAAAUAAAAUGAAACUAUUGUUUGCGAUGUUUUGAAACGAAAAACGGAAACGUUUUCGGAACGUUUAUUAAGAAAAACGUUACGUUUCCGAACUGAAUUAUCGACUUUUACUCCGUCGCUCGGUUGCGAAAACUUUCUUCACGAAAGUUGUAGAGCUCGUCGAUACGAGUUCGAGAGUAUGUGACGCGUUCGAAUCGGACGUCGGAGGUAAAAGUUAUUAACGUCGGAAGUUAGUUUCCGAUUUGGAAACUAGUAUAAAUAGAUAAUUAUGGAAUUAGGGUUUCCAUAAUCAGAAACCCUUUCUCUCUCUCUCUCUCAUCCCGCCGCUCUCCCUUUCUCUCUCCCUCCCUCGCGACUCUCUCUCCCCUAUCUCUCCUUCCAAGCCGGCGAUUUCCCUCCAAUCGCCUCCGUGCUCGACACCGCCGGUGUCACAGAGACCGCGUGACCACGACGCAGCGAUCGGUAGUAGCGGCGACGCACCCCGAGCGGGGAUCGAGCAACACCGACGAAGCUUGACCUCGGGAUCGUCGAGUUCGACGCGGCCGGCAUCGUAGGAGCUCGGCGCCACCACCACGACCUCGCCCUUUCCUCCGCGACACGAACCUACCCACGGGGGACUCACCUCGAGCAGCGGCGCCAUCGAUCACCCUUCCUCCGAAACCGAGUCUCACGGCGACUUUUGGAGCUUCAUCGAGGGAAUCCGACGGUCCAAAACGUCGAUAGAGGUGAUCGCUAAAUCGAGGAAAGGAAAUAUCAUCGGGAAUUGUGGAUUUACGCUCGAGUCGUUAAGGGGAUACUUCCGCAGGUGCUGAGUAGUAGUGAUUGAGUGACGACUCCGAAGACUCGAAGUCGAUCGCAUCCAGUCGUGGUGAGGUUCCAGCGUGGAUUUUGUGUGAGAUUUGGUGUGAUUUUAUUUGUGAGGUUAUUGUGAGGAUUAUACAAUUCCAUUUGUUAUAUGUUGAAUUAUCAUUUGGGUUUGUAAUAAUCGGCUUGACUGAGUUAUAUUUUAAACUCAGAUGUGAUCCGCUGCGACAUUAAAAUGAUUUCGAUUUCAUUGAGAUUAUUUUUGUGUUUAACGAUUUUAAGAUUUUGAGUGUUGAAGCUCGAAAUUUUAGGGUCGUUACAGUUGGUAUCAGAGCCUAAGUGCGUAUUUGGCGAUAAUCAAUAUCAUCCGGGAGCGAUGAUCCGACUGCAGGCGGGCCCCCAUCACAUGCUCCUCGGUAUUGAUAUGUCGUCGGGUACGCGAGAGUGUUUUAGGAGCCAUACCUAAUGUUUGGUCCUCCGAGAAGUAUCGUGAUGAUACUUCGAUGAUUCAUCAUAUCCCGAAAUUUCAUGUUAAUACCUAUUAAAUCUGUUUUAGUCGAAUUCGAGACUUAACAUGUAUGACUGAGUGUUAAUUGUUGAAUGGUGAUGAAUUUGGAAAAUGGCCGU